rnacentral:rRNA from 1 species
GAUGAAUGCUGGCGGCGUGCCUAACACAUGCAAGUCGAGCGGCAGCGCGGUCUUCGGACUGGCGGCGAGCGGCGGACGGCUGAGUAACGCGUGGGAACGUACCCCAAAGUGAGGAAUAACUGCCCGAAAGGGUAGCUAAUGCCGCAUAUGGUCUUCGGAUUAAAGGAUUUAUCCGCUUUGGGAACGGCCUGCGUACGAUUAGAUUGUUGGUGAGGUAAUGGCUCACCAAGUCGACGAUCGUUAACUGGUCUGAGAGGAUGAUCAGUCAGACUGGAACUGAGACACGGUCCAGACUCCUACGGGAGGCAGCAGUGAGGAAUCUUCCACAAUGGGCGAAAGCCUGAUGGAGCAACGCCGCGUGCAGGAUGAAGGCCUUCGGGUCGUAAACUGCUUUAUAAGUGAAGAAUAUGACGGUAGCUUAUGAAUAAGCACCGGCUAACUACGUG